UCGCGCCCCCGCGCCCUCGCGCCCUCGCACCGGGGGCGGGCUUGCUGCGCGUGCCGGGCGGGGAAGCGGCGCGAGCCGGGUUCCUGAGAACGUUCGUCGCGGGGGCGGCUCCGGGGCCUGAGCGGGCGCCGCCACCGCCUCAGCCUCGGAGGCCGGGCCGGAGGAGGCAGAGGAGGCUGCGGCCGCCGGAGACCUUUUCGACGCCCCCAGCUCCGGCCGGGAAGAUGAUUGAGGAAAGUGGGAACAAGCGGAAGACCAUGGCAGAGAAGAGGCAGCUGUUCAUAGAAAUGCGUGCUCAGAAUUUUGAUGUCAUACGACUAUCAACUUACAGAACAGCUUGCAAAUUGCGAUUUGUGCAAAAACGAUGCAACCUCCAUCUUGUUGAUAUCUGGAACAUGAUUGAAGCCUUCCGAGACAAUGGCCUUAAUACACUGGACCAUACCACUGAGAUCAGUGUGUCUCGCCUCGAGACCGUCAUCUCAUCCAUCUACUACCAGCUGAACAAGCGCCUUCCUUCUACUCACCAAAUCAGUGUGGAACAGUCCAUCAGCCUCCUCCUCAACUUUAUGAUUGCUGCAUAUGACAGUGAGGGCCGAGGCAAGUUGACGGUAUUUUCAGUUAAAGCUAUGUUAGCAACCAUGUGUGGUGGAAAAAUGCUGGACAAAUUGAGAUAUGUUUUCUCCCAGAUGUCAGAUUCCAAUGGCUUAAUGAUAUUUAGCAAGUUUGACCAGUUUCUGAAGGAAGUUCUGAAGCUCCCAACAGCUGUCUUUGAAGGGCCAUCUUUUGGUUACACAGAGCACUCAGUCCGCACCUGUUUUCCACAGCAGAAAAAGAUAAUGCUAAAUACGUUUUUAGACACCAUGAUGGCCGACCCUCCUCCCCAGUGCCUUGUCUGGCUACCUCUCAUGCAUAGGCUUGCCCACGUUGAGAAUGUCUUCCACCCCGUGGAGUGCUCCUAUUGCCGGUGUGAGAGUAUGAUGGGUUUCCGGUACCGAUGCCAGCAGUGCCACAACUACCAGCUCUGCCAGAAUUGCUUUUGGCGUGGCCAUGCCAAUGGCCCUCACAGCAACCAGCACCAGAUGAAGGAGCAUUCCUCUUGGAAAUCCCCUGCAAAGAAGCUGAGCCACGCAAUUAGUAAAUCCUUGGGGUGUGUACCCACCAGAGAACCUCCGCAUCCUGUUUUUCCUGAACAACCAGAGAAACCACUUGACCUUGCAAAUAUAGUUCCUCCUCGCCCUCUGACGAAUGUGAAUGACACCAUGGUGAGCCACAUGUCCUCUGGGGCGCCCACUCCCACCAAGAGGUUACAGUAUAGCCAGGAUAUACCCAGUCACUUGGCCGAUGAGCAUGCGCUGAUAGCCUCCUUUGUGGCCCGUCUGCAGCACUGUGCACGUGUCCUGGACAGUCCUAGCCGACUGGAUGAGGAACACCGGCUUAUAGCUCGCUAUGCUGCCCGGCUGGCUGCAGAGGCAGGAAACAUGACCCGUCCUCCCGCCGACUUGAGCUUUAACUUUGAUGCCAACAAACAACAAAGACAGCUUAUUGCAGAACUGGAAAACAAAAACAGAGAGAUCCUGCAGGAGAUUCAGCGUCUCCGUCUAGAGCAUGAGCAGGCUUCCCAGCCCACCCCGGAGAAGGCCCAGCAGAACCCCACACUGCUGGCAGAGCUGCGGCUGCUGAGGCAGAGGAAAGAUGAACUGGAGCAGAGGAUGUCAGCACUGCAGGAGAGCAGGCGGGAACUGAUGGUCCAGCUGGAAGGGCUGAUGAAGCUGCUGAAGGAGGAGGAGCAAAAACAGGCAGCUCAGGCCACAGGAUCGCCACAGACGUCGCCCACUCACGGAGGCAGCCGCCCGAUGCCCAUGCCCGUGCACUCCACCUCCGCUGGCUCCACACCCACCCACUGCCCGCAGGACCCGCUGAGCGGAGUUGGCGGGGACGUGCAGGAGGCCUUCGCCCAGGGUACAAGGAGAGACCUCCGCAAUGACCUGCUGGUGGCCGCUGACUCCAUCACCAGCACCAUGUCAUCCCUGGUGAAGGAGCUCCACUCAGCAGGGGAAGGUGCAGAGGAAGAAGAAGAGAAGAUGCAGAAUGGGAAAGACAGAGGUUAGCGGAGGAGCCGGGACAGAGAGGAAGCGCGGUCUUUUCUUCCCUCCGCUCCCCCACCUCUUGUGUUUGAAAGUUAGGCCAUCUUCCUCAGUUACAGAUCUUCCAGGCAGAAAAGCCAGGGCUGCAGCCCACGAUCCAGAAAAGGAACUUUCCCAGGCCCUUCUCAGCAGUAUUAUCCUGGAGCAGCCUCCGGGCUUUUCCUGACACCCCCGACUUCCCCCGUCUGCACCAACCCGUUGGUUCUGUCCUGCUGGCACUCCAGGACCUGCUGUCUCUGAGCCUCCACUGACUCAGGGAUCGUGCAAGCUAAAGAUGGGCAGUGCAAGCUGCGGAAAUUGUCUCGCUGCCCUGGAAACCACGGACCCUCCAAGGCUGGGGCAGGCUUCUCCCUGAACUCACUGCGCAUGCAGACGAGGCCCUUCCUGACAGCAGGCCUUGGCUGCCGCAGCCACGAGGCAGUCAGGAGCUGACUUGCCCUCGGGGAGCCUGUCAGAGCCCCUCUCCUCGGGGCACACAGGAACUGGGGGACGAGGAGAGGCGUGUCUGCCACCUGGCCCACCACUCUUCGUGCACAUGAGGAAACUAAGGCCCACCACCCAGGAGCUCGGUGCCGGAACUGGAAUCGGAGCUGGGUCCUCUGCUCCUAGUGCUGUCCUCUGACCCCAGGAGGAAUAUUGAGAAACUCACCACUAGUGGAGAGUCAAAUGGAAAGCCUGCACACUCAGGUGGACCCUUAAGUUCUGCUGUCUUCGGGCACGCGGCUAGGCUUUCUCCCCUUCCACUCAGCGCUUCUCAGCACAUCUCUGCCCUUCUCCUCAGUCACGAUUCUUCUUCCCAUGGAACCACCACAUUCCAAACCUUGCACUGUGAACAGUUCUUUCUUUCCUGGAAACAUUUCCUGACCCUGUGACCUAAGCAAGGACUCCAAAGACUCGAGAUACCCCCAGAAAAGAGAAUGCCCCCUUCCCUGAAAGGGGGUGUGAGUAUUGUCACUCUUGGCAUAUCCCGAGUUGAAAGGCACAGGGGACGUGGAGUGAGCUGGCACCGACAGGAGGAAGGCGAGGUGUUCCCCCAGAGGCGCAUUCCUGUCCGUCUCUCCGCUGCUCACCUGGACCAGGCUUGCAGGCUGCCAGA